UACACGACCGUACCGCAAACCGACACUGGUGCGCGAGAUGAGUAUUCUAAGGCGCUUGAGAGAACUCAGGAGAAGGAACUCGGCAAAUUGACACCGUAACUUCGGAAGAAGGUGUGCCUUUAGUAGGUGAAGGGAUUUACUCCUAGAGCCCAAUGAGGUUGCAAAAAAUCGGUGGCUGCGACUGUUUAUUAAAAACACAGCACUCUGCAAACACGAAAGUGGACGUAUAGGGUGUGACCCCUGCCCGGUGCUGGAAGAUUAAAUGAUGGGGUGCAAGCUCUUGAUUGAAGUCCCAGUAAACGGCGGCCGUAACGAUAACGGUCCUAAGGUAGCGAAAUUCCUUGUCGGGUAAGUUCCGACCUGCACGAAUGGCGUAACGAUGGCCACACUGUCUCCUCCUGAGACUCAGCGAAGUUGAAAUGUUUGUGAUGAUGCAAUCUUCCCGCGGAAAGACGGAAAGACCCCAUGAACCUUUACUGUAGCUUUGUAUUGGACUUUGAACAGAUCUGUGUAGGAUAGGUGGGAGGCUUUGAAGUAGGGUCGCUAGAUCUUAUGGAGCCAACGUUGAAAUACCACUCUGGUGUGUUUGAGGUUCUAACCUAGGUCCAUUAUCUGGAUCGGGGACAGUGCAUGGUAGGCAGUUUGACUGGGGCGGUCUCCUCCCAAAGCGUAACGGAGGAGUUCGAAGGUACGCUAGUUACGGUCGGACAUCGUGACGAUAGUGCAAUGGCAUAAGCGUGCUUAACUGCGAGACUGACAAGUCGAGCAGAUGCGAAAGCAGGACAUAGUGAUCCGGUGGUUCUGUAUGGAAGGGCCAUCGCUCAACGGAUAAAAGGUACUCUGGGGAUAACAGGCUGAUACCGCCCAAGAGUUCAUAUCGACGGCGGUGUUUGGCACCUCGAUGUCGGCUCAUCUCAUCCUGGGGCUGUAGCCGGUCCCAAGGGUAUGGCUGUUCGCCAUUUAAAGAGGUACGUGAGCUGGGUUUAAAACGUCGUGAGACAGUUUGGUCCCUAUCUUCCGUGGGCGCUGCAGAUUUGAGGAAGCCUGCUCCUAGUACGAGAGGACCGGAGUGGACACACCUCUGGUGUAUCGGUUGUCACGCCAGUGGCAUUGCCGGGUAGCUAAGUGUGGAAGAGAUAACCGCUGAAAGCAUCUAAGCGGGAAACUCGUUUCAAGAUGAGAUCUGCCGGGGCCUUGAGCCCCCUAAAGAGUCGUUCAAGACCAGGACGUUGAUAGGUCGGGUGUGGAAGCGCAGUAAUGCGUUAAGCUAACCGAUACUAAUUGCUCGUGCGGCUUGACC
rnacentral:rRNA from 1 species